rnacentral:rRNA from 1 species
AUGAGUGUCUUUAAGCUCCCUGCUCCGGUCUGUGAUGAGCUGACUGGUACGAUCCGCCAAUAUUGGCGGGGAGUCGAGAACAUGAAGAAGAAGAUGGCAUGGAUGAUUUGGGACAAAUUGAGGCUACCUAAACCUAUGGGUGGCAUGGGGUUUAAGGAUAUGAGGGCAUUUAAUCAAGCUUUGUUGGCCAAAUAAGCUUGGCGACUUAUAGAUACGCCGGAUAGCCUGUGUGCACGGCUUAUUAAAGCUAGAUACUACCCUUCGGGACAGCUAUUGGAUACGUCGUUCUCGGGCAAUGAUUCUUCAGUUUGAAAGGGUAUCCUACAUGGUCUUGAUCUGCUAAAGAGAGGUGUUAUUUGGAGGGUUGGAAAUGGAGCUGAUAUACGCACGUGGAGGGAUCCCUGGGUUCCCCGACCAUCGACGUUUCGCCCUAUUACUCCAAAGGGAAACUGUCGGCUAAACCGGGUGGCGGAUUUUAUCGAUGAUAACGGUGCUUGGCGUGUUGAUCGCCUACGGGAGUUCUUCUGGCCUAUGGACGUGGAUUAUAUACUAAAAAUCAGGACUUCCCCACGUAACCGCGAUGAUUUUGUCUCCCGGUUCCCGGAGAAGACUAGAAUUUUCAUGGUACGGAGCGUGUAUAAGCUGGCCACAUGCAAUCACAACGUCGCUUUUGCCAAUGGAUCGUCUAGUACAAACCCGGAUGGUGAUCGCGCAGUAUGGAACCGUAUUUAGGCGGCUAAUGUGCCCUAG